AAAAGGAUAAAGUAUCACAGAGAGGAGAAGCAGAGAACAGAGGCACAGAGAAGAGGACCAAGAAAACUAGGCAGAGGAGCUAGUUAGAAUCAAAUCUGGCUAGAACAGAAGCUCUACAAAGAAAUCAGUAAAAGGCAAGGUUGGAAAAAUUGUUGGGGCCAGAUAAUGGACAUACCGAAUUUCAAGACUAAGAGAUUUAGACAAAAAGCAAUGGAAAGAUACUGACAUCUUUGCAUAGAAAAACACAAGAGCUACUGUUGAUUUGAAAUUUAUUUUUUCUGCCAAGCACGAUGCUAAUUGCUUUAUGUAAAUUAUCUCAUGUGAGCCUCAAGCAACCCUAUGAAAUAGAUACUUUCAAUGCACACAUUUAAUUGAUGAGAAAGUUGAAUUUAGAGAGACUAAGUGAUUUGCUUGAAAUCAUAUAGACAGUAUAGCAGACUGAAUCAUGGUCUGAAGAGGUCCUAAUUCCUGGAACCUGAGAAUGUUACUUUGUAAAGAAAAAGAGUCUUUGCAAAUAUGAUUAAGGAUCCUGACAAAGGGAGAUAAGCCUGGAUUAUUCAGGAGGCCCUACUUCCAAUCACAAGUGUCCUCAUAAGACGGAAGCAGAGACGAAACGUGACACACACCAAAGAGGAAGAGGCAGCAUGAAGACAGAGGCAGAGAUCGGACUGACACAGCCACAGGAGGACGCUCGAGCGGAACAAGGAGACUUGGCACGUGACCAGUCACUGUGACUCUGUGCUCACCUGUUCACCAAUACUCAAGGGAAAAAACCCACUGACUUAGGAUGAUUAUUCUAGAAGUGAGGCAGUGAACUGAACAAAGCAAGACUCAGCUGGACCUGGGGGAUCCUCCAGGAGCUUCAACAGUCACCCGGACAACCAGGAGCCCAUGCGUGACCCAUGUUCUGAUUCUUGACUUGGAAAAACUUUGAAAUCCAAACUGAGGUGUUUAACAAGAUAAUAUUUAAACUGCUUUAUAAUUCAGUCAUUCUGGGCACAUGGCCUCUGCAGCAGGCCUGGAGGCAAGAUCUGGGUCCGCAGGUGGGAGAAGUCUUUGAAACCUAGCCACAGAUCCCUCACCCUUCAGGGUCCUGGUGAGAAGUCCAUGUGAGAUCAUGUGCAAAGAACCUGCCCAGGGCCUGGUGCUGAGAACAGGGGUCACCGGGCCAAGAAGCCAGACGACUCUGAUUUACCAACAACGUGACUCCAGCAGUUUCUCCAUCUGCAAAAUUUGUUCCUACCUCUUAGUUUUCUUGGGAGGAUUAAAUGAGUCUACUCAUAAGAAGCAACUGGAACUUUCUGAGCAGUUUAUACAUGUUAUUUAUUUAUAGCAUAGGUUGAGACCAACCCCCGACUUAGCACAAUAUAAGAUCCCAUCUCUACAGGAGGCCUGAUGGCUUUCCUGGGAGUCCAGGGGGUGAGGAGGUUGGGGUGAAGGCACCCCAGAGCUCUUUCUGGUGUAAGAGUCUCUGUUCCGUUUGUCACGUGUGGAAUCUUUGGACUGCCCUUUGAAUUGAGGGGAUUUUUCUGAGGCCCUUGAUGAGUUAAUUCAACACUGCUUUGGAGUAAGGCUGAGUCUCUAUUGUAUUUAGAAUGCGAGAGGAAUAAAAUAACACUGAGUACUGGUGAGCAAACAAUAAAGCAGAACAGGGAGGUUUGGGAAUAUGUUCAUAAAGGGGAAAUACAUUAUGGUUCCUGCACAUAUUGUAGGUCAUAGAUAGUGAUGAAAUUAAAAUUCAUCUCCAAAGUCAGCAUGGCAUUGCAAAGAAUGGGGAGUUUCACGAAUAAGGCAUAAGUUGAUACCAUAAAAAGGAGCUCGUUAAACAACUGUGAUUUCAGCGAGGAUGACAGACAACUACCUUAUUUCGCAUUUCAGGACUAUUACUGGUUUCAAAGCUAUCACGAAAUCUCUUUGCUUACUUUUUUUAUCUCAAAAUAGUUCAAGAAAAAUGCCCUCCUUUUGCAUUUGGAAACAUGGCUGUAAACAGUACUAUUUCUACUAUUCAUCUUUUGAAAUAGGGACGCAUCCAAAGUUUUUAUAUUUGGGGAAUUUAAUAGGUAUAAUUCAGUAUCCUUCUACGUUGUUAGCACAUUUAGAAUGCAUUUUAAGUGAAAACUAAACAGAAACAUUUGCAGUGUAUUCAAGAUAUUUUAACUCAUCACAUAUGAUUCUCCACAAAAAAUCUUUCACUGAAUAAAUUAUUCAAAACCAAGAGUAUAGAUUGGCAUAAAGUGGAUUUUGUAUUAGUUCAUCUGGCAAAAAAUCAAAGUGUAAUACAACAGUUUCACCUAUAACUAUGUAAAUGUAAGAUAUUAUGUUAUAAAAGAAAUGUAAGGAUUGUAGUAAACAGCCAAGUAAUUAAAAAAAAAUGAUUCCUAAACUAGCCAACACGGUCCAAAAUCAUUAUGGAAAAAGAUUUUAAAACACAAAUAAAGUACAAAAAGAGCUAAAUUAAUACACAUAGGUCAUUUGUUAGUGCAUGGGAAAAUUCAGUCUCUUAAACAUGUUAAUUUCCUACAGAUUAUUCUAUACCACAUUCAAAGUAAUUCUAAAAAAUAAUCCCAGCAGAGUUUUUCAACGGAUCUUGACAAGCUGAUCCUCAAAUUCAAAUAGGAGCACAGAGAGUCUGAAGAAGUCUGUUGUAAACCUAUAGAGGUUAAAAGUAAGAGAGGGAGGAAACUUGCAUGUGUAAGGGGAAAUGUCAUAAAUGAUCGAGGCCAUAGAACAAAUCAAUGGCAUAGGGAUGGAGAACUCAAAUGAUAUUGGGACAAUCGCAUCCCUACGUCACAACAUUCAAAAACAAUUUGAAAUGGAUCAAAGAUAAAAAUCUUUAUUUUAUUUAUUUAUUUUUUUAAAGAU